rnacentral:rRNA from 1 species
GUCCUUGCCGUAAACGAUGUAUACUAGAUGGAGCUGGCUUCAACCCCGGCUGUGUCGUAGCGAACGCGUUAAGUAUACCGCCUGGGAAGUACAGUCGCAAGGCUGAAACUCAAAAGAAUUGACGGGGACCCCGCACAAGCAGUGGAGCAUGUGGUUUAAUUCGAUGCAACGCGAAGAACCUUACCCAGGCUUGACAUGCACGAGACCGCUUCAGAGAUGAGGCUUCCCUUCGGGGCUCGUGCACAGGUGCUGCAUGGCUGUCGU